CAGCCGCCGCGGUAAUACGAAGGGGGCUAGCGUUGUUCGGAAUUAAUGGGCGUAAAGCGCACGUAGGCGGACAUUUAAGUCAGGGGUGAAAUCCCGGGGCUCAACCCCGGAACUGCCUUUGAUACUGGGUGUCUAGAGUAUGGAAGAGGUGAGUGGAAUUCCGAGUGUAGAGGUGAAAUUCGUAGAUAUUCGGAGGAACACCAGUGGCGAAGGCGGCUCACUGGUCCAUUACUGACGCUGAGGUGCGAAAGCGUGGGGAGCAAACAGGAUUAGAUACCCCAGUAGUUCCUGUCUCUUAUAC
rnacentral:rRNA from 1 species